rnacentral:rRNA from 1 species
CCUACGGGAGGCAGCAGUGGGGAAUUUUGGACAAUGGGGGCAACCCUGAUCCAGCAAUGCCGCGUGAGUGAAGAAGGCCUUCGGGUUGUAAAGCUCUUUUGUCAGGGAAGAAACGGUGAUCUCUAAUACAGAUUACUAAUGACGGUACCUGAAGAAUAAGCACCGGCUAACUACGUGCCAGCAGCCGCGGUAAUACGUAGGGUGCAAGCGUUAAUCGGAAUUACUGGGCGUAAAGCGUGCGCAGGCGGUUAUAUAAGUCAGAUGUGAAAUCCCCGGGCUCAACCUGGGAACUGCAUUUGAGACUGUAUGGCUAGAGUGUGUCAGAGGGGGGUAGAAUUCCACGUGUAGCAGUGAAAUGCGUAGAUAUGUGGAGGAAUACCGAUGGCGAAGGCAGCCCCCUGGGAUAACACUGACGCUCAUGCACGAAAGCGUGGGGAGCAAACAGGAUUAGAUACCCUGGUAGUCCACGCCCUAAACGAUGUCUACUAGUUGUCGGGUCUUAAUUGACUUUGGUAACGCAGCUACGACGUGAGUAGACCGCCGNGGAGGUACGGUCGCGAGAGUAAACGUACGAAGAAGUUAGACGGCGUGAGAGUAGCGACGACGACGACGAGGGAGGAGG